rnacentral:lncRNA from 1 species
CCAUCAUCCGCAAUGCACCUGCUCCGUUUCGUCCUCGCCGUCAUCGGCAUCGGCCUCGUCUUCUUCCUCAAGGUAGGCUACCGGCUUCGCCUCGUCAUCGAGUUCGUGGAGCGCCUUGGCUUCCUCUACGUCGAACAGCCAGCUGACCGCCGGUUGGCAAUGGGCUAAAUCACCUUCCCUUCCGCCGGCGACGAGGUUUUUCACCGCGGCGCCUGCGCUAGAUGCAAAUGCCGGUCUAAUUUGCAAAAUCCAGGGGGGAUUAUGAAAAAUAUUUGGAUCGGGAAUCGCGAACUAAAAAUUUAGACUUAACCCUCUAAAUUGGAUCGCGA